AGGAGGCACCUGGCUCUCAUUCAUGUUGCCCUGUGGAAUUGGGCUCGAGGAACUGGGACAAAGUAGGAUGCAGUGGAGGGCUCUGAGAUUCCAAAGGACAAGAAAGCCACUAGCUGGAAGAAACUUGGGUUCCUGAGUGAUGCGUGGAGCAGAGCAGAGCUUCCUCACCAACCUCCAUGUGAUGGGAGUGAGAAAUAAACUUGUUAACAUUUUUUAUUACAGCAGCUAGCUAACCCUGACUAGUACAUUGUAGAAUACUCGUAUGUCCUUUGCCUCUCUGGUAGCUUCUCUGACUCCUUCCUGGAAUCCUCUUCUUUCUCUCAUCACCUGAACAAAACUAUCCCCCUAAAAAUCAGAGCCCUUCUGACCACUUUCCUCUGGGUCAGCAAGUGACCUAGUCCUGAUCUCUCUUUUGAGCUCCAGAUGCUCAUCAGCAGCUUCUUAAGGUUAACUGUCUUGCAGUUGCAUGAAGAUGCAAACCUAAGUUCAUUUUCUUCCUCCCCAAACUGAUUCUCCUAACUUAUCUUUCACUGUCACUCACUCGUCACCAGGCUUCUCCUAGUCAAACUGGCAGUACAUCCCUGUGUGUUUUCAAUUCUUCCCUCUUUCUCACCAGCUACACCAGACAGAAGACCAUCACUCCUCUUUCCCCCACAUCCAUCCCCACGCUUCUGCUAUCCUCAUGGCCGUCUCUCUUCUCAAGCCAGGUGGUGGCACCUUAAGUCCUCUCUUCAAUGCCACUCUCUCUUCCUCAAGUUACAGCACCCUGGGCUAUGGCUCUUGUGUAGACUUCUGCAAUAGCUUUUUUUUUUCUAAUUAAGAAAUAUUUUAAGCACAUGGGGAAGUGUAGAGACUAAUAUAACUAACACUUGUACCUAUCACUCAGUUUUGUCAAUCCUUAAUAUUUUGCUGUAUUUGAAAAUGAAGGGAAAAAAACAAAAUUGCUUCAAAUCUAGGAGAUGAAAAGCUUAUGUUAUCUCUUUCAUUGUAUUAGGUGGAAUUUUAUAGUAAACUUACAUAACACU
rnacentral:lncRNA from 10 species